ACGUCCUUUGCCGCGCUCAACUCGCAAUCACGCUCCCGUUGCCUGAGUUUUUAGAGCUGGAUGCGGUCCCACCUUUGCUUCUAGGUCUUAUGAUCAGGAGACGAAAGUGGACGCGCAUGGACGAGAGGAAUUGACCGAUGGUCUUUGAGUACGACGCAGUCUUUUUGCACAGUGGUUGUAUGUCGUAAUUUACCUCCGGCACAAUU
rnacentral:snoRNA from 1 species